GACGAACGCUGGCGGCGUGCUUAACACAUGCAAGUCGAACGGUGAAGCGCCUUCCUUUUUGGGGGGUGUGGAGGCGUGGCGAACGGGUGAGUAACACGAGAGUAACCUGCCCCCUUCUUCUGGUUAACCGCAUGAAAGUGUGGCUAAUACGGGAUAUUCUGGUGCUGUGUCAUGGUGGGUCUGGGUAAGAUGUUGUUUCGGUGGGGGAGGGGCUCGCGGCCUUUCAGCUUGUUGGGGGUGUGCUGGCCUUCCAAGGCUGUUCCGGGUAGCCGGCCUGGGAGGGUGGACGGUCACACUGGGUGAGCGACACGGCUGGGACUGCGACGGGGGGCAGCAGUGGGGAGUAUGGCACAGUGGGGGCAAGUCUGAUGCGGCGGCGCGGCGUGAGGGAUAGCGGCCUGCGGGUUGUGAACCUCUUUGGCCAGUGAAGCAGGUCUGCCUGGUAUGUGGGGGGGUUGACGGUAGCUGGAAAAGAAGCACCGGCUAACUACGUG
rnacentral:rRNA from 1 species